rnacentral:rRNA from 1 species
GAUCAACGCUGGCGGCGUGCUUAACACAUGCAAGUCGAACGAAGUUUUUCUUUCGGGAGGAACUUAGUGGCGGACGGGUGAGUAACGCGUGGGUAACCUGCCCUGUACAGGGGGACAACAGCUGGAAACGGCUGCUAAUACCUCAUAAGCCCUUAGCACUGCAUGGUGCAUAGGGAAAAGGAGCAAUCCGGUACAGGAUGGACCCGCGUCUGAUUAGGCAGUUGGCAGGGUAACUGCCUACCCAAGCGACGAUCAGUAGCCGAUCUGAGAGGAUGUACGGCCACAUUGGGACUGAGACACGGCCCAGACUCCUACGGGAGGCAGCAGUGGGGAAUAUUGCACAAUGGAGGAAACUCUGAUGCAGCGACGCCGCGUGAGUGAAGAAGUAUUUCGGUAUGUAAAGCUCUAUCAGCAGGAAAGAAAAUGACGGUACCUGACUAAGAAGCACCGGCUAAAUACGUG